CUUAAAUAUAUGAUAGACCAAGCGUAUAUGCCCCUUUUUCUGAUAUUACAUAUGUUAUACUUAAAUAAUUAUAGCCAUAUAUCUCAGCAAUGUUUGAAUGAGGAUAUAUGUAGAAGAUUCUAGCUUAUAGAAAUUUAUAACGUUAUUUCGUGGACGAAGAGGUGAGCGCUUCUGGUUAAAAGCUGAAAUCAUCGAAGUGCUUUGGAGUUUGCGUAAAUUACUCCAGACGUAGAUUUUUAUCUUUUAUUAAUUUCCUGAUCGAAGAAGUUACAUACAUGUAGCAAAUUUAUAGCAGCUAAAAAUUGAGAAAAUCUUAAUGUUGGAAAGAUCGUUUACUUUGUUAAAGACUAAUAAAUCUAUCAAAAAGAUCGUUAUAAAUUCACAAAGUCGCUACAGUAAGCUAUGAAUUUGUCAAUUUGUUCGUUCUAGUAGUUCUAGCGUUACUCUCAGUGAACACGAUUCCUGCUGUCAACUUUCAAAAACAGACAUUCCGAUCUGACAAUAAAAUUCUCAAAAAGGGAAGAAGGGAACAGAAUAAAACCAUCUUAACCGAAUAAAUCCUCUUUUAAGUUUCGCAACAUCUUGUUAAGUGGAGACUGAUAAAGCGGAAGAGAGCGCUAGCAUUGCAUCAGCCUCGUGAAGCACAGUCUCUGUCAAUGUAAAAAGUACAACGCGAGAAUUAUCCGCGUCAGAAAUCGCCUCUAAUUUCACGUGUACUUCUCUUUAGCUAUCGACGUUGGUUCCAUAAAUAGGGUUAAGCCACGCCUCUUUGCCGACGUUUCUAUAAGGCCUUACCUCACGUUCUACGAAGCACGGUGAAGCGCUUUUACUCUUUAACUCGCGUUUUUACGAGGACCCGAACGUAAUGGGCUUCGUAGCGUGUCUUUUUCUCGGCCUCACGGAAGUCCGAUACGAUGCGAUGUCGCGAUAGAAAAUCGUCGAUUCUUUCUCUUUUUUCAUCGUUCUUUAAGCUGAACAAGAGCCAACCGCUUCCUUUUCUUUAUUUUUCAUCUUUUCUCCUCUGUUUCUUUUUCUUCCUUCGCUUUUUCUGCACCAUCUCAUCCUUUAACAAUAUCCGCAAGUUCUUGAUCGAAGAUGUGACCCGAGCCGAAGGUAAUGUGUCCUUUAAAUAUGAAGUUUCGUUAAAGAAACAGCGUAGAGGAUGCAUGUUACAAGCUUCGUAUGAGCUCGAUUAUAAUCUCCUUUCUUGCGCUGUUACCUUCUCGUUUUUAUUUACCGUAUCUACCGAUACGUGACAGAUAUAUCGAACGGUCGAAGACUGUAUAAUUGAAUAAAUUGCAUUGCAAGUUUCGAUUCGAGUUUUUUUUGACCAGAAAAUACUCUUGACAAAUAUACAUGUAUCUAUCUUAGACUUAUAGGUGUUUUUUUCAGAAACCUUCUCCUUCAACCUUCGUGGGCUUCUUUGGUUUUUCUUCAAGAAUUUAUUUUCUCAAUUAGACGAGUGUUAGAGAAUAGCUGGAAGGUUACUUUCAAGGCUACUCUCCGUUAAAUAUUUUAUAAUGUCCCAUACCACUAUUAUUCUCGCGUCUCACCGUACGUAAUUCGAAGUAAUUCGGCAAUAUCAAUCUUUGACGGCAUUGCAAGGUAUUUGAUCGAUGUUAAUUAUUCAGUCGCUUUAGCUUCAUACUCAUUACCCGAUAUUCUCUCAUAUUUUCGAUAAAUCAAAUCCUUCUGAUUACAUAAUAUGUAUCCUUUCUGAUUAUAUAAUCGUAUGUUUCUUAAUGGAUUCCAUUGGAACUUAUUCGACCGCAGUAAAGUACCAUGUGUUUAUGUACUUAAGAAACCUUAACAAGUAACUGACGAACGCAAACACGGAAUACAUGUUCGAUUAAUCGGCUUUGACGAGUGGUUCGCCUUCGCAGGCAAAUAUUUGACGCGUGCUAGACUAAUAGCGCGCUUGCGAACACUUACAGGUUAUAACGCGUGGUGCCAAUAUUGUCCGGUCAAACAGCAAAAUAUUCUGUAACAUUUAUUCAGCAACAUCGACGAAUGGUACAUAUCGACGAAUAGUCGUCCCCUUUCGCGUCGAUCAUAUUUAUGACGGCGAUCUGUUCGAAAAUUCGCGUGUGGGCGAGUCGUGUAUUUGACUGCGACCGGUAAUAAUGCACGAUAAGCUAAUAUUGCAUCGUCAAAUAAUAAAAUAUCCCAGGUUGGUUUGCAUAAUGCGGUUUCACCGGUGAUCGCGAUUUCGAUCGAUGCGAGUCGAUGCAUGCAGACAAUGCCACAUCUAUCACCAUAUAUUGUUUGAAGGGAAGUUUAUAACGCGUAGGUGAUUUUUCUGCUAUUUUAGGUUUUAGAUUUUCCAUUGGUAUUUUCACCAUAUCUCGUUUUAGUUUCGUUCGUUUAUAGCCAGGAAAACUUGUCAUUUUUUUUUUAUUUAACGUAAAGUUCUGAACUUUUUCCUGUACCUUAAUACUAAUUUACUCAUCGCAAACUCGCGAACUUUCCAGGCCUGUACUAGCGUUUGGUCUUUUCCGUGAGUGACGUGUACGUUACUCCAAUAUCCUGGAACCAGUAAUUAUUAGUCGUGGUCGUUGCCAUUGUUCAAGAAUUCAAUUGAUUCUUCGUUGAUUAGAACUCGAUCAUCUACCAGGAAUAGGAUUUUUGCGUAUUAUACCUUUGUGAAAGAAGAACGAGCGUAUAGAUUGGAGAUUUUUCACAUUUCGUUACAAUUCGUUUAAUUAACACGUAGCACAUAUCAAACCACCGUGGUAAUAACGUCGCAUAAUCUCGAGUCGCAUUCAUAGAUCGAUUAGUUCACGUUGUUAUUUUAAAAGUUGCCAAUACCGAGUUGCUUGUACGAGGUUCCGCGACGUAUUCAUCGAGUUCUCCGGGUGUUGAUACGAUUUUCAUAUAUCGUUCAGAAAGCAAGUGGCGUUUUAUCAAACGCCGCAUCGUCCCGACACAUUCAACCAGACACGUACACACGUCAUUUUCUUUCCUCUGUGUCUGCGCAUCGCACUCAUCCCUUUGUUUAGCUGAUUUAUGGAGCGACGCGACUGUUGCAGAGACCGAGCUCGCGGUGAAAGUAUUAGAUGUCGGAUCUACGAAAUGAUUCGAUGAAAUCUCAAUUCGCGGCGAAAUCUCUCUCUCUCUCUUUCUCUCGCUUCCUGAUAUUGCGUACCGAUCGAACGUCGAACGAAACGAUCGAGAAACUGUACGCGAAGUCUCAGAAGACAGGCAAUUUAUUUCGAGAACAUAACAAUAAGAAUAUCGCGAAUCAAAAUAUAGCUUUUGAACUGCGUUUCAGGGACAAUCGUUCGAUGAAUUCUUCGGUAUUUUCCUUGGAAAUUUCAUCAGGAUUUAUGGAUGUUGACAGGCGGAAGAACUGAGACGAUUAGGGAGUUACAAUUACAAGGGUUUUAUGUAACUUUCGCAUUUGUUCCUCCUUGGUCACGUAAUAAGGAAAUUUAGUGUUUCACAACGUAUUAGUUCUGGAUUUGAUGGAAUGAGAAUGCUACCAGUAUCCAUAGAUACUCAACGUUCUACAAACAUAUUGUCUAUAAUUAUCCUUAAAAUGAUCAGCGAUCCGAGUAACUACAAAAAUGUUUGAAACGCAAUCACUCUAACGUCGUUGAUUUCGUUUAAAAGCUGGGCAGAAUACGCGAUUGAAUUUCGAAAUUAAUUGUACGUCGAACCUAAAACACGCGAUAACCGGAGAAUGUGGAAUUAAAAAAAAAGAAGGAACUAAAAAGAUAAAAAAAAA